GAUGAACGCUGGCGGCGUGCCUAAUACAUGCAAGUCGAGCGAACAGAUAAGGAGCUUGCUCCUUUGACGUUAGCGGCGGACGGGUGAGUAACACGUGGGUAACCUACCUAUAAGACUGGGAUAACUUCGGGAAACCGGAGCUAAUACCGGAUAAUAUUUCGAACCGCAUGGUUCGAUAGUGGAAGAUGGUUUUGCUAUCACUUAUAGAUGGACCCGCGCCGUAUUAGCUAGUUGGUAAGGUAACGGCUUACCAAGGCGACGAUACGUAGCCGACCUGAGAGGGUGAUCGGCCACACUGGAACUGAGACACGGUCCAGACUCCUACGGGAGGCAGCAGUAGGGAAUCUUCCGCAAUGGGCGAAAGCCUGACGGAGCAACGCCGCGUGAGUGAUGAAGGUCUUCGGAUCGUAAAACUCUGUUAUUAGGGAAGAACAUAUGUGUAAGUAACUGUGCACGUCUUGACGGUACCUAAUCAGAAAGCCACGGCUAACUACGUG
rnacentral:rRNA from 1 species